ACAGACAAAAAUCGGUGGCCGCUCAGGGCUGGGCCGGGGCACUGGCGGAAGGAAGUUGGAAGUGACUGUUGAUGGGUGCAAGGUUUUGGGUGGUGAGUGAAACGGUUAAAAGUUGUGGUUGAUGGUUAGACAACCGUUGAGACUAUCCUAAAAGCUGCUGGACUUCACACUUGAGAUAGGAGUUAAGGCUCAGUUAGCCAUUAAAAAAAGAAAGAAAAGGGGCUGGGGAUUUAGCUCAGUGGUAGAGCACUUACCUAGGAAGCGCAAGGCCCUGGGUUCGGUCCCCGAAAAAAAGAACCAAAAAAAAAAAAAAAAAGAAAGAAAGAAAGAAAGAAAGAAAGAAAGAAAGAAAGAAAGAAAAGAAACCUUAGAGAGGCAGUUUGUGAGGGGAGGAGAGCAAAGAACACUUUGGGCAGCCUCCAGGGACGGGACACCACAAGCUGUAUUUCAGGGACACCCACAGCCUGCCCAGCG
rnacentral:lncRNA from 1 species